CGAACUAGCUGGGAAUAACACUUGAAGUGAACCUACUUGCAGGCGAAAAGACAAAAAAUCAAGCUUGUUCCUUUUAAUGCUCGAGUCUUCGUAUCGAUAGGAAAAUAGAACAGACAAAACUACAUGAUUAAAGUGCCACUGGUCAAAGAUCAGGACCUAUGGGCAGGGGCUAAUACAAAAAAAGGCUUUCCAGUCACUGACUCCAG
rnacentral:lncRNA from 1 species